rnacentral:tRNA from 1 species
GGAGAGAUGUCCGAGUGGUCGAAGGAGCACGCCUGGAAAGCGUGUAUAGGAGCAAUCUUAUCAGGGGUUCAAAUCCCCUUCUCUCCGCCA